rnacentral:rRNA from 1 species
CCUACGGGCGGCAGCAGUGAGGAAUAUUGGUCAAUGGGCGCGAGCCUGAACCAGCCAAGUCGCGUGAGGGAGGACGGCCCUACGGGUUGUAAACCUCUUUUGCCGGGGAGCAACGGGCGCCACGUGUGGCGUCCCGGAGAGGACCCGGAGAAAAAGCAGCGGCUAACUCCGGGCCAGCAGCCGCGGUAAUAAGGAGGAUGCGAGCGUGAGCCGGAUUGAUUGGGUUUAAAGGGUGCGUAGGCGGCCCGUGAAGGCCGUGGGCAACUUGAGGGGCUCAACCCCUUCCCGCCAUUGAAACUGGCGUUCUUGAGUGGAAUAGAAGUAUGCGGAAUGCGUGUUGUAGCGG